ensembl:snoRNA
GGUGUGUGCUCCAGCAGGGGGGCUACAGAAUGACUCCUCUGUUUAUACACACUCCUGUUCAAUAACAGGAAUCUGAGAUCAUUGUGAUGAGGGGCAUAAAAACUGUGUCCCUAUGAACAAAUUCCCUACCUGG